GGGUCGGUGCCCGAGUGGUUAAUGGGGACGGACUGUAAAUCCGUUGGCUCUGCCUACGUUGGUUCAAAUCCAACCCGGCCCA
rnacentral:tRNA from 1 species